CGAGCGGCGGACGGGUGAGUAAUGUCUGGGAAACUGCCUGAUGGAGGGGGAUAACUACUGGAAACGGUAGCUAAUACCGCAUAACGUCGCAAGACCAAAGAGGGGGACCUUCGGGCCUCUUGCCAUCAGAUGUGCCCAGAUGGGAUUAGCUAGUAGGUGGGGUAACGGCUCACCUAGGCGACGAUCCCUAGCUGGUCUGAGAGGAUGACCAGCCACACUGGAACUGAGACACGGUCCAGACUCCUACGGGAGGCAGCAGUGGGGAAUAUUGCACAAUGGGCGCAAGCCUGAUGCAGCCAUGCCGCGUGUAUGAAGAAGGCCUUCGGGUUGUAAAGUACUUUCAGCGGGGAGGAAGGCGUUGAGGUUAAUAACCUCAGCGAUUGACGUUACCCGCAGAAGAAGCACCGGCUAACUCCGUGCCAGCAGCCGCGGUAAUACGGAGGGUGCAAGCGUUAAUCGGAAUUACUGGGCGUAAAGCGCACGCAGGCGGUCUGUCAAGUCGGAUGUGAAAUCCCCGGGCUCAACCUGGGAACUGCAUUCGAAACUGGCAGGCUAGAGUCUUGUAGAGGGGGGUAGAAUUCCAGGUGUAGCGGUGAAAUGCGUAGAGAUCUGGAGGAAUACCGGUGGCGAACGCGGCCCCCUGGACAAAGACUGACGCUCACGUGCGAAAGCGUGGGGAGCAAACAAGAUUAGAUACCCUGGUAGUCCACGCCGUACACGAUGUCGACGUGGGAGGUUGUGCCCUUGAGGCGUGCCUUCCCGGAGCUAACGCGUUAACUCGACCGCCUGGGGGAGUACGGCCGCAAGGUUAAAACUCAAAUGAAAUUGACGGGGGCCCGCCACAGCGGUGGGAGCAUGUGGUUUAUUCGAUGCAACGCGCAGUACUUUACCUACUCUUGACAUCCAGAGACUUACAGAGAUGCUUUG
rnacentral:rRNA from 1 species